GAUGAACGCUAGCGACAGGCUUAACACAUGCAAGUCGAGGGGCAGCGGGGUGUGGCAACACAUUGCCGGCGACCGGCGCACGGGUGAGUAACGCGUAUGCAACUUGCCUAUCAGAGGGGGAUAACCCGGCGAAAGUCGGACUAAUACCGCAUAAAACAGGGGUUCCGCAUGGGGAUAUUUGUUAAAGAUUCAUCGCUGAUAGAUAGGCAUGCGUUCCAUUAGGCAGUUGGCGGGGUAACGGCCCACCAAACCGACGAUGGAUAGGGGUUCUGAGAGGAAGGUCCCCCACAUUGGUACUGAGAAACGGACCAAACUCCUACGGGAGGCAGCAGUGAGGAAUAUUGGUCAAUGGCCGGGAGGCUGAACCAGCCAAGUCGCGUGGAGGACGAAGGUCCUAUGGAUUGUAAACUUCUUUUGUGCGGGAAUAAAGUCGGGGACGCGUCCCCGUUUGCAUGUACCGCACGAAUAAGCAUCGGCUAACUCCGUGCCAGCAGCCGCCGUAA
rnacentral:rRNA from 1 species